AAGAAGUGAUCGAUCUGGAUUUAUUGCAGAAGAGGUAGAGAGAGAGAGAGAGAGGAAAGAAGAAGUGAUCGAUCUGGAUUUAUUGCAGAAGAGGUAGAGAGAGAGAGAGAGAGGUAUCUGCGUCUGGAAUAGUUGCAGUCUUUGUAAAGUCUGAGGCAUUCAAAUAGAAAAGGGAAGAAGGGAAAUCAGUUUCAUCUUGAAUUUCAUAGAUUUUGAAGAAAUUUUAUAAGCAGUGUGAUCCUGCAAAGCGCGGGGAAGUUUUCUAGUUAUUAUACAUACAUCUAAAGCCCGUGACUGUUCAUACUGUUCAUUUAACAGUAAAAUGCCGGUUCUGCCCUUGCUUUUUCUCACAAUUUCACACUGCCAUUGACCAAGGUAUACUAGAUGUUUCCAUCGGUUUCUUGACUUUCUUCUUUCUUCUACGGACUGUUUCUUUUGUUCUCACUGCACUCCCUCUGCUCCCAUCCCGGCGAUUUCUGUUCGGUAUUCACCUUGAGCCGACGUCAUCACUAGCGUGGUGCUUCAAUCGAUUUCUCAAGUUUGAGACUUUGUGCAUGUGUAUAAUUUGGCUCAGUCUCAAUUGGUGCUUGGAUAUGGUGUGAGGCUAGCCAAAUUGGCUCAGCAUGUUACCAAUUUGUUCAUAUUUUGCCUCUCUCUUUGCUAAAACGAAAUGUUGAUGGGCGUUAUUUUAUUGAAAGAGUAGGUCUACUGCUUGCCUUCUCAAUUUUGGUGGCUAAGUGGGAUGAGUGUUGGUUCAGGGAGAACGAGUAGAAAGAAAGCCAUCCUUGACAGCCGCAGAGAGAGAGAGAGAGAGAGAGAGAGAGAGAGAGAGAGAUAUUCAAGAAGCAAAAAUCUGGGUUGCUCUUCUCAAUCAAAUUGUCAAGGCAUUAGAAACAUUCAAAGGCAGUAGGCAGUACAACCUCAUUAAAAUUGGGGACUUAUGCUCAAAAUAUGUGAUCCAUAUGGAGGAAUGUGUUAGAUGGUUAGAACAUGGAGAAGACUGUAAAAGUACUUGGGCUCCCUCCCCUUUGUGAACUAGAUAACUUCAUUUGAUUACUAUUAGUUGUUAGUUCAGUUAGAAAGCAAUUGAUAAUUGUUAUACAACUUGAACGAAGUGAUACUACCCGCAGCAAAGUGCGGGAUUUCUAACUAGUAAAUAUACUAAAGCCCCUAGAGCUAGCACUGUUCAUAGCCCUGUUUAACUUCAAGGACGGUUUUGCCCCUUUUUUUCUGGUAAUUUACGACUUGCCAUUGAAGAUCUGUAUUUUUCUAAAGGACGGUGGUCAGACCUAAAACAAUUUGGGCUUAUCAGUAGGCCAUUGCAGGGAUUUUUUUUUUUUUUUCUGCGCGAUAGAAGAGUUCUGGUCAGACCAAAAACAAAACGAAGAAAAAGAAAAGAAGUGAUUGUCGUGUUUGAGCAGGAAGCAAGAGAAGGGUCCCUGGUUUUGUUUUGAUAAGAUCGACUUUGUAGCUUGAGUGGGUGCAGCUGUGAGGAAGAAGAAGACCUGCGCUAGCUGCUAUAUCCUUUCAGUAUAUAGGCGAAUCGAGCUUCAUCUUCGCUGUUCUGUGUGAUCAAAUUUUGCCGUCGACGUCAACCUUGGUGGGAUUUUAAUUAGUGCUUUGCGUUUUGAGUGGUUUGAGUUUAUGACGGGAAGAUUGGUUUGAAAACAAAUAGAGUAGAUGUGAAGGAACUCAGGAAGUAUGAGUUUUAAAAUUGAAGCUGAAGCAGCAGAGGAUAAGGGGUCAAGGCACAUCAUGAUAAUUGGUUUUGUUUAUUAUGCUCACUGUUUAGGUCUGAAAUAGUAUUGUGAAUGAAGUAUUGUUGGGAGGUGUUUCGUAAAGUUUCGAAAUUUGAAUGUUAAGGUGUGCAGAUUUUGCAAUUCAUGAUGAGCAUGGAGGUUGAUUAGCUGCAGAAUAUGCUAAGAAGGAUUUGCAUACAUGUGAGUUGCAUUACCAUUUGAUUGAGAAAGCAGCCGAGAAAGCCAUUCUGCAUGGGGCUAUGGUUGGUUGCUUCUUAUGAAUUAGCUAGCCUAAAGCAUUUUUUAGUGGAUAAAUAAGUGGAUGGUGCACUUCAGCAACUCAGCUUCAACAUUCUUCGAUAGCUUCUGCAAUGACCAUAAAAUUCCUACAAGAUCUACAUAGAUUGGAAGCAGUUCUAUAUGUUUCAAGAGUACAUCAACACAAUUAAUGAUCUGUAAUAGUUCUGUAUCAAUGUUCACACCUCACAGGAUUGUAGUUACAGUUGCCACUAAUUUUGGAGUGAAACCUACUUUUGCUCUUUGGGUUUAACAUAAACAUACUACUACGCCUACUACGUAACAUUAAAAGAUCAAUUGUAUUACAACUUUAACUAUCAUAUAGCAAUGAUUCCCGCAGCAAAGCGCGGGCUUACUUUCUA